rnacentral:rRNA from 1 species
ACUUAUUGAAGCCUUUGCAGCCCCGCAAGGGGUCUGUACCGCGACUCUAAAUAAUCGGUUACAGUGCCUAUCCAAAACAGGUAUGCAAGUUAGUGACAUUGAAUCCAAUCUCACUAGCGACACUUUCGAAUUGCGGGGACACCCUAAAGUUCAUAUCUACUAACCUAGCGGGGAAAACCCAGUUAGGGGCCUAUGUUAACAGCAUAGGGGACAGUAAAAAGGAUAUGAAAUUAGUUUUCGUAACUGAAUGGGCAAUCCGCAGCCAAGUCCCGUCCAUGAAUGGGAAAGGUUCACAGACUAAGUGGAAGUGGGUGGGUGUUUUUUGUCACCUGCUUAAGAUAUAGUCGGGCCCCUUGGGAAACCUUGGGGGGAGAGUUUAUCACAAACCAACCAACCGUUCCGUAGGUGAACCUGCGGAAGGAUCAUUAC